rnacentral:lncRNA from 1 species
UCCAUACUGGCCGUUGACUUCCGGUUUUCCACGUUCACGGCAGCAUUUGUUACGGGUUUUUCUUGCUUUGCUGUUGGCUUUAAUCGUGUUUUAACUGGCACCCGUGGUAUUUCCUCGCAGUUUCGAUUUGCCUGAUGACUGAUGGUAUUGAUCGUACCUCAUGUGUUUGUGGCUGUUUGGAACAGUUGCUCAUUUUGUAAUCAGAUUCUUGCUUUUAUAAUUCCUUACAUAUUAUAAAUAUACUAUGUAUUACGCAUAGGAAUCCUUCGUUGGGGGGAUAGUUGGCAAACAAUUCUCUAGUUCUGUAGGUUCCUCUGUUUCUUUGUAUGCUGUACAGAACUCCAGUGUAAUGGUUUGACUGUCCUCAUUUCUGAUUUCUUUGCUUUUAUAAUCGCACACAGCCACUGCUCACCGCAUCUACGAUACUCCAUUGCCCUUGCCGACGUGCGUCUAUGUAAGUUUCCAGUUCAGACCUUGCAUUUGGUCUUUGGUUCAUCGUGAGCUAAGAUGCAUUGGUCAGGAAAAGCCUCAGUUUCCGUCCCUUGCAAGUGGGUGUCUGCUUUCCCUGCACACUUUGCUGACGAGGCCAGCCUCACAGCCUGCACGGUUUGCGCACCUUUGUCAAAACGGAGCUGGUUCUAGGUGUGCAAGCUGACGUUUGGGCUCUCUGUUCAUUCCCACGGGUCGCUUGAUCUAUGGCCGUGCUGUUUCUGCUAUCGUGGCUCAGUAGAACGUCUUGAGAUGAGUGUCCAUGUCACCUCUGGCCUCGCUGCUUUUGCUCAAGAUUAUUUCGUCUGUUCUGAGUCUUUGGUGAAGAGGCAGAAUUUGGAAACAUUGUCUUUACUCCUCUGCGCUGAAUAACUACAUGUGUUAUUUCUUAUUGAAUACCUCCCCAAACCAGAAGUCAUCAUCUCAAAUCCUAGGACUAGGUCAUUUGAGACAUUACUAGAAAACAGUAUACGUCUUACACAAAAAGAAAAAGAUGCUGAGGUUAGCCCUUUGUAUAAGUCUUUGUUGUACUUUAUAAUUCUUCCUGUGUGUUCAAGUUUUCUUAACCUUUUUUCCUGUAAUCGCUCGACUCUGUGCUCUGGCAUGCUGUUGGGUAGAGCGGAAAGCUCUGUUGCCCUGUAGUAAACUGUGUUCAUCUUCACUCGCA